CUUGCACUAGUUCUAAAGUGGCCAUCCUAGACACAGAUAGGAUUUCGUGAUUGAAUUUUCUUAACGGUCUAUUUUGGUAAAUUCAGUUAGAAACAAAUUGAUUACUAUCAUGAAGAUGGAUAAUUUUAUAUAAUAUAUUGAACAUAUAAAAAACGUACAUGAUAGCCUAUUACAUUUUUGACUAAAUGGUGGCUAAAAUACUAAUAAAGGAAAAAUAAAAAUAUGGAAAAUAUUAAAUAGGAAUAAACCCAAUAAACCCUUAUUUCCUUUAACACCCUCCCUCAAACCUAAGCUGGUAGAAUGACGAACAACUUGAGUUUGUGAAGAAAACUUCUGAAUCAAAUCAAUAGAUCUAGGAUAGAAUAAAAAAUCCACGAAGAGCGAAAACAAGAACUUCGAGGCUAGAAACACAAACACAAACACAAACCAACGAAGAAUGGAACCAAGAACUUUCAGGAUAGAAACAUAUCCUCAUAUAGAGAUCUAUAACAAAACCUACGAUGAAUGAACCAAGAACUUUUGGACAAGAACAAAGAUACUUAUAGAGAGAUUUAUAACAAAACCCAUGAACGAUUGAUUUGAAAACAAAACUAAGACCCAUAAUUUUUUUUUAAUAGAACCGGACCAAACCACCUGAACCAAAACUACGUUAGCUAAACCGAACAUGACUAAAUAAACCAAACUGAUUGAACUGGUUUUAACCAAAGGGCAGAAUCCCUCAUCUCACGUCAAAAUUGGGUCAUGAACAACCAACACAAGUUUGGACCAUGACACAUCCAGGUUGAACGAAGGCUAUGGGCUGUCGACGAUUGGAUUUGGGCAAGGAGAAAAUGGAUGACGGAUCUGAAUGGUUGAUGGGACAAGGAAGUGGUGGCGAACGUGGAUCUAUACAGAUUGGCUAUAGGGGCAAUUGGCGGGUGGUGGUUGAUGCAUGGUUUUGACUGGGGAAGUGUUGCGGCGGAGAAUGACAAUAUUAGGAAAAGAAAAACCCUCAUGGGCGAUGGGUCUGCCUCUGUUGACGAUUGAUUGAUGGAGGCAGAGAUUGGAUAGGGCUGUGGCGGCUAGAAUUCAAUGAGUCAAAAAACCCUAGAGCUAUUAUACCAUGCAGGAAUUGGGAAGAGCAUUUACAGCACCUGGAAAUGGUGUUAAAAGUUAUGAGGAAGCGUGAACUUUAUGCAAUCAGAAAGAAGUGCAGCUUUUCUCAUUCCAGAGUUGAGUAUUUAGGCCGUAUCAUAUCUGGAAGGGGCGUGGAGGUAGACCUGGAGAAAAUUAGGGCAGUCAAGUAGCCAAUUCCUACCAAUGUGAGGGAAGUCAGAGGAUUCCUGGGGUUGAUAGGAUAUUAUAGACGGUUUGUUCAACAUUAUGGAACAAUAGCAGCUCCUUUAAUGCAGUUAUUAAAGCUCGGAGCAUUCAAAUGGACUGAAGAAGCUCAAGAAGCCUUUUUGAAGUUGCAGAAUGUCAUGAUGACACUACUAGUAUUAGCCUUACCUGAUUUUAGCCUACCAUUUGAGAUUGAAACCGAUGCGCUACCCUAGUGCGCGGUAAGAGCUACACUAGUGCAGGGUAAGAGACCAAUUGCAUACUAUAGCCAUACUCUGACAAUGAGAGGUCAAGCUAAACCGGUCUAUCAGAGAGAAUUGAUGGCAGUUGUUCUAGCUGUGCAAAGAUGGAGACCCUAUUUGUUAGGGAGGAAGUUCGUGGUGAAAACAAACCAAUGCUCGUUGAAGUUUUUGUUGGAGUAGAGGGUAAUUCAACCACAACAUCAAAAGUGGAUAGCUAAGUUGUUAGGCUAUUCUUUUGAAGUUGUUUACAAGCCGGAGUUGGAAAAUAAGGUUGCUAAUUCUUUGUCACUAGUGCCAUCUUCAAUACAUCUAUAUAACCUUACUGCCCCAACAUUGAUUGAUCUAACUGUGAUUAAAGAGGAAGUGGAGAAGGAUGAGCAAUUAAGAGAAACACUCUCCAGAUUGAAAAAGGAGGAGGAAGUAUGCAACUAUUUACUGCAUGAGAUGUUGAGAUACAAAGGAAGAUUGGUGAUUUUCAAGUCUUCUUCCUUGAUUCCAACUAUACUACAUACUUAUCAUGAUUCUGUCUUUGGAGGCCGUUCUGGAUUUUUGCGAACAUAUAAAAGAUUAAAUGGAUAAUUAUUUCGGGAGGGCAUGAAGCAUGAUGUAAAAAAAUAUUGUGAAGAGUGCUUAGUAUGCCAACGAAACAAGUCUCUUGCUUUAACUUCUGUUGGAUUAUUAUUGCCUUUAGAAGUACCAAGCAGGGUGUGGAGCAAUAUAUCAAUGAAUUUCAUUGAAGGGUUACCUAAAGCAGCAGGGUUUAAUGUAAUUCUGGUGGUAGUAGACCAAUUUAGUAACUGCGCUCAUUUUCUGGCUUUAAAGCAUCUCUACAAUGCUAAAAGAGUAGCUGAUCUGUUUGUAAAAGAAGUGGUGAGACUGCACGGAUAUCCUCAAUCCAUCGUCUCAGAGAGACAAGGUCUUUUUGAGUAACUUGUGGAAAGAAUUAUUUUGAUUGGCUGGCACAAGGUUAAAUAGAAGUUCAGCAUAUUAUCCCCAAUCAGAUGGGCAAACAAGAGUAGUCAACAGAGAGGUUGAAAUAUAUUUGCAUUGCUUCUGUCGGGAAAGACCAAAGAAUGAAUAAGAUGGCUACAUUGGGCAGAAUAUUGGUAUAACACUACAUAUCAUAGAUCGUUGGGAGUAACUCCUUUCCAAGCUGUAUAUGGUCGCUUACCACCCCCAUUAAUAUACUAUGGAGAUAGAGAAACACUGAAUUCAACCCUUGAUGCAGAAUUGAAGGAGAGGGAUAUUGCCUUGGGUGCACUAAAAGAUCAUCUUAUAGUGGCACAAGAAAAAAUGAAGUAUGCGGAUCUCAAAAGAAGACAUGUUGAGUUUCAAGUAGGGGAGAUCGUCUUCUUAAAGAUUCGUCCAUAUAAGCAAGUGUCGUUGAGAAAGAGGAGAAAUGAAAAGUUAUCUCGAAAAUUCUUUGGUAAUCAUUGAAAGAAUUGAGCCCAUAGCAUAUAAAUUGGAAUUGCCAUCCUCGGCUACAAUCCACACUGUUUUUCAUGUGUCUCAAGUGAAGAGAGUGCUGGGAGAACACAUUGAAGUGCAGGAGAUAGUCUGUAUAUGUUUGAAAAUUAUGAAUGGAAGGCAGUACCAGAAGAAAUAUUUGGUUAUAAGAAGAAUGAUGCAGGAGCAUGGGAAGUUUUGAUCAGCUGGAAAGGACUACCAGGACAUGAAGGGACCUAGAAGAAUUAUGAUGAUUUCCAGCAAUCAUUUCCUGACUUCACCUUAAGGACAAGGUGGAUUUAGACCACCAAUAAUUCUUCAAUACAGUAGAAAAGGGAAGAGAGGAAUAGCAAGUAUAGAGGAAUAGCAAGUAUUAAGGAGGGACCACAAUGAGAGAUAAGUCGGUGGAUAUAAAUAGAAAAAAAAAAAGGGAGGGAAAAUCAGUUAGCAUUUUGUGAGUUAGAAUUCCGUUUCAUCUUUGAGAGAAGAUGACAGCAUAUUGACAGAAUUUUUGUACUUCAUCGAAUUGAUAUUCCUAUCAAUUCGAUCUCUUCUUUAGAUUGUAAUUUCUUUCUUCAUAACUAGAAUAAAAAAGAAUUGUUCUUAUUGUUCA